UACGGGGGGAGCAAGCGUUGUUCGGAUUUACUGGGCGUAAAGGGCGCGUAGGCGGUCAGCACAAGUCAGUUGUGAAAUCUCCGGGCUUAACCCGGAAAGGUCAACUGAUACUGUGCGACUAGAGUGCGGAAGGGGCAACUGGAAUUCUCGGUGUAGCGGUGAAAUGCGUAGAUAUCGAGAGGAACACCUGCGGCGAAGGCGGGUUGCUGGGCCGACACUGACGCUGAUGCGCGAAAGCCAGGGGAGGCGAACGGG
rnacentral:rRNA from 1 species